AUGUAUUUAAAUAAUCUUUUAACGGCAAUGCCGAUCAACCGAGUCGUCUCUCUCACGAGUAACUCUAAGAGCAUGGAUUGAUUGUUUCACACAUUACUUCACAAACAUAGGUUGUAUUUUCUCAACAAACCAGUAUGUACUACUUGACCGUUAUGGGGAAGAUUUAAGGCUAGAGCUUAAAGCGUGAUAUUUAAAGUGACAUGCAUGCAAUUAAUCUAAUUUAACAUUGACAUUUUUGUAUUUUUUCCCCAGCUCCAGCCACCGUGAACUCACCUAUGGAAACUGAGAAGAUCAUAUUUGAAGGCAAAGUUGCCCAGGAGCUUGAAUGCAGACCAACAGCAAAUGCAAGUAACAUCUAUAUCAACAAACAUCUAUAACUCUGGAAGCAGUGUGGUAGUUUCCGGUAGUUUCAGUUCUUCUGCUUCCGCCAUGUCCCUUUCAUGCGGUGAUUCUCCAAAUCUUCAUCCAUUUCAAAUUCCACAAUGUCCUGCAGACUCAAUCCCGGAUCCGGAGCGAUGGCACUGUCAUGCAAACUUAUCGAUGACAUUCUCAACGUUUCAAAACUGGCAUCCUCAAAACUCAAGUCUGCUGCAUUCAUUUCUGAAUUAACUGUGUCGUCACACUACCUCUGCAAAGUUUAAACAGAAAAAUACAUUGAUGACUGAGA
rnacentral:lncRNA from 1 species